CAGCCCCAGAUCAUCAUCAUCCACUGACAUCCCCACAUUCAUUCUGCAGACAGCCCUGGACACAGUCCUUCCUGACCAACUCCCUGUGCCCUGUAUCCUGUCACAGUCUUGAACCUCCCCACCAAAGAAAAAAGUAAUGAGCAACUCAAGUCAUCCUGGAGAACUCUCAGCAAAUGCACGUUAUAACCACUGCCCGCAUCAUGUGCCAACAACACCAUAAGCCGUGUUCUUGAGCCUCAGCCGAACUCCUAUAAUCCUCGAGCCAGAGCUCUGCACCGAGCACUGGGAACCCACAUGCCUUAAGUUUCAGUCUCUUGGUGGUCCCUUGAGGGCUUCGAUGAUCAGGGCAGAGGCAGAAGGUACCACUUCAAUCUGGGCCUGUCUGUUCUGAAUGGUCAGUUUCACUGUAAUCCUCAGAUCCUUCCAAUCACUGGUUGCCUUGGCCAUGUCAUCACCAACCUUUUUUGGAGACAGACCCAGCGGGCCGAUCUUCGGGCAGACGUGGCACCGACCUCACCACCAGUGCACCUCAGCGAGCGAGCAUAAGAGAGAGAAAGAAAGAUCAUGAGCAGGAAGGAGGGGACGAGGGAG